GAUGAACGCUGGCGGCGUGCCUAAUACAUGCAAGUCGAGCGAACAGACGAGGAGCUUGCUCCUCUGAUGUUAGCGGCGGACGGGUGAGUAACACGUGGAUAACCUACCUAUAAGACUGGGAUAACUUCGGGAAACCGGAGCUAAUACCGGAUAACAUGUUGAACCGCAUGGUUCAACAGUGAAAGACGGUUUUGCUGUCACUUAUAGAUGGAUCCGCGCCGCAUUAGCUAGUUGGUAAGGUAACGGCUUACCAAGGCAACGAUGCGUAGCCGACCUGAGAGGGUGAUCGGCCACACUGGAACUGAGACACGGUCCAGACUCCUACGGGAGGCAGCAGUAGGGAAUCUUCCGCAAUGGGCGAAAGCAUGACGGAGCAACGCCGCGUGAGUGAAGAAGGUCUUCGGAUCGUAAAACUCUGUUAUUAGGGAAGAACAAAUGUGUAAGUAACUAUGCACGUCUUGACGGUACCUAAUCAGAAAGCCACGGCUAACUACGUG
rnacentral:rRNA from 1 species